AACCUAGCACACCUGCGGUGUGUACCUGCGGAGGGAUCAUUACACAAUACAAUAUGAAGGCUGUCCGCAGCUGGAGUAUUUUAUUACCCUUGUCUUUUGCGCACUUGUUGUUUCCUGGGCGGGUUCGCUCGCCACUAGGACCACCAAAUAAACCUUUUUUAUGCAGUUGCAAUCAGCGUCAGUACAAACAAUGUAAAUCAUUUACAACUUUUAACAACGGAUCUCAGAUCGGAAGAGCAC
rnacentral:misc_RNA from 1 species